GUGAAUCAUCGAAUUUUUGAACGCAAAUUGCACUCUCUUCGGAGAGUAUGCGUGUUUGAGGGUCAGACUAAAAAAAUCGAUGUAGUCGCUGUUUCGCGGUGACAUUCGUCGGUAUUUGGGUCAUCUUACUCCAUUGGGUUUUUUAAGCGGCUUAGAAUUUUCUUUACGAUACCACGAACGUUUAUAAGAUUUUAAUUCUUACAAACGUUAAAGGUACCGUUCUUUAUUUGACGUGGGCGUUGC
rnacentral:misc_RNA from 1 species